rnacentral:rRNA from 1 species
CGCCUGGGGAGUGCGGCCGCAAGGUUAAAACUCAAAUGAAUUGACGGGGGCCCGCACAAGCGGUGGAGCAUGUGGUUUAAUUCGACGCGACGCGAAGAACCUUACCUGGCCUUGACAUGCAGAGAACUUUCCAGAGAUGGAUUGGUGCCUUCGGGAACUCUGACACAGGUGCUGCAUGGCCGUCGUCAGCUCGUGUCGUGAGAUGUUGGGUUAAGUCCCGUAACGAGCGCAACCCCUAUCCCUAGUUGCUAGCAGUUCGGCUGAGAACUCUAGGGAGACUGCCGGUGACAAACCGGAGGAAGGUGGGGAUGACGUCAGGUCAUCAUGGCCCUUACGGCCAGGGCUACACACGUGCUACAAUGGUGCGCACAGAGGGCUGCAAACCCGCGAGGGGGAGCCAAUCUCACAAAACGCAUCGUAGUCCGGAUCGCAGUCUGCAACUCGACUGCGUGAAGUCGGAAUCGCUAGUAAUCGUGAAUCAGAAUGUCACGGUGAGUACGUUCCCGGGCCUUGUACACACCGCCCGUCACACCAUGGGAGUGGAUUGCACCAGGAGUGGUUAGUCUAACCUUCGGGAGGACGAUCACCACGGUGUGGUUCAUGACUGGGGUGAAGUCGUAACAAGGUAACCGUA